UUGAUUUUGAUACAUAAAGUAAUGGAGAAUCACUAGGAAGUUGAAUAAAUCUCAUUGGAGUUAGGAUGAAGAAGCUAUCCCACUUUCAAAUCAGGUGAUCCUAGUUUUCCUGUUUGGGAAUAUAACAGCUUCCUUGUCAUUCUAAAAGAACCAGGAUGAAUCGCGAUGUAAGAAGCUUGAUUUUGAUAUAUAAAGUAAUGGAGAAUCACUAGGAAGUUGAAUAAAUCUCAUAGGAGUUAGG
rnacentral:lncRNA from 1 species